GAUGAACGCUGGCGGCGUGCCUAAUACAUGCAAGUCGAGCGAACAGACGAGGAGCUUGCUCCUCUGACGUUAGCGGCGGACGGGUGAGUAACACGUGGAUAACCUACCUAUAAGACUGGGAUAACUUCGGGAAACCGGAGCUAAUACCGGAUAAUAUAUUGAACCGCAUGGUUCAAUAGUGAAAGACGGUUUUGCUGUCACUUAUAGAUGGAUCCGCGCCGCAUUAGCUAGUUGGUAAGGUAACGGCUUACCAAGGCGACGAUGCGUAGCCGACCUGAGAGGGUGAUCGGCCACCCUGCAACUGAGACACGGUCCAGACUCCUACGGGAGGCAGCCGUAGGGAAUCUUCCGCAAUGGGCGAAAGCCUGACGGAGCAACGCCGCGUGAGUGAUGAAGGUCUUCGGAUCGUAAAACUCUGUUAUUAGGGAAGAACAAAUGUGUAAGUAACUAUGCACGUCUUGACGGUACCUAAUCAGAAAGCCACGGCUAACUACGUG
rnacentral:rRNA from 1 species